rnacentral:rRNA from 1 species
CACGGGGGUUGCGAGCGUUGUCCGGAAUUACUAGGCGUAAAGGGCAGGCAGGCGGAUCCAUAAGUUUAUCGUUUAAGGCGUCGGCUUAACCGGCGUAGGGCGGUAGAUACUGUGGAUCUGGAAUGCGGUUGGGGAAGACAGAAUUCCUGGUGCAGCGGUGGAAUGCGCAGAGAUCAGGAGGAAUACCGAAGGCGAAGGCAGUCUUCUAAGCCGUUAUUGACGCUCAACUGCGAAGGUGUGGGUAUCAAACAGGAUUAGAUACCCUGGUAGUCCCU